CCUUGAUCUGGUCAUGGAGAAGCCAGAAGUCCAGGGAGAGCUCUGCCCUGGGGGAAGACUGGGAGAGGGGCUGAGAGCUACAUGUUUUAGACCUGCUGAAUCAAUGUACCUCAGUCCUGGAAAGGACAGGUGGGCUGAUGGGUCCAGCCACAUGAUCCUACUGGUGGCAGACCCUCAGGAAGUCUUCAGGAAGCACAGGUGCCUCGUUCAGCACUGAAGUCCAAGCCCUGGGUAUACCCCAUCGAACUGAGGUCUUCCUGGCAAAAUUACCCUCUUUGGAUAAGGACCAAUGGGGAGCCACAAUAAACCAAAUGCUGUGAAGGGGCAGAGCAUGUGAAUAAAACCAUGAAGGCAUGACUGGAAUGAUUUAUUCAUAGAACUUGAAAGUAGGAAUAGGAAACAAUUAUUGCAAUUUGGAAAAGGCCAGUUCAAGAGAAAUUUUUAAAAAAAGAAAUAAUUUGUAGAGGACAGGACUGGGUGGCUCAGUUGUUUAAGUGUCUGCCUUGGCCUCAGGACAUGAAGCCAGGGUCCUGGGACAGAGCCUUAUGUCAGUUCUCUGCUCAGCGGGAGCCUGCUUCUCCCUCCCCCCAUGCCUGCUACAGAAUUAAAUCUUGUAAAAAACUGAAAUCAUAUUAAGCAUCUUCUCCGAAGACAAUGGCAUGAUACCAGAAAUCGAUUACAAGAAAGCGCUGGAAUAAACACAUACACAUGGAAGCUAAACAACACAUUACUAAACAACUGAUGGGUCAACCAAGCAAUCAAAGAGGAAAUAAAAAAAUACAUGGAGAGAAAUGAAAAUGAAAACACAAUGGUCCAAAAUCUUCGGGACACAACAAAAGCAGAUCUAAGAGGAAAGUUUAUAGUGAUAAAGACCUAACUCAAGAAAAAAUAAAAAUUUCAAACCCAACAUUACACCUAACAGAGCUAGAUAAAGAACA